rnacentral:lncRNA from 1 species
AGAUUUGCUUCGUUUCCUGAAGAUGGAGGGUCCUUUGUCCGUGUUCGGGGACCGCAGCACUGGGGAAGCGAUCCGCUCCCAGAACGGAUGUAACUAUUACUAAUGAUGGGGCCACCAUUCUGAAAUUAUUGGAGGUGGAACAUCCUGCAGCCAAAGUUCUGUGUGAACUGGCUGACCUGCAAGACAAAGAAGUUGGAGAUGGAACUACCUCAGUGGUAAUCAUUGCAGCGGAGCUUCUGAAAAAUGCUGAUGAGCUAGUCAAGCAGAAAAUUCAUCCGACAUCAG